GGGUGCAUAGUCUAGUGGUCAGGACGGUUCGUUGUGGUUUCUCAGGAAUCCCAACCCCCGAACAAACCCCGGUUCGAUUCCGGGUGCGCCCA